GUGCGGUCAUACCAUGUUCUUUGGUGAAGCGCAUCACACAUUGUAUUAAAAUAAGUCAAACAAAUGAAAGGCCAAGAUUAUAACAUUUCCUCAAGAUCCAAUGGCCUGGAAGCUCCCACGUGGGGAUGGUGGUGGAAACCACCAUCUUCUCCGGCCAGACAACUGAUUCCAGCCACCACGCGCAGGGAUUUCAGCUUCAAUAAAAAUGAAAAAGCAAGGUAUCAAAAUGAAGCUGGGGUGAUGUACAUCACCCCUAUAACCAUGGAUUCUCC
rnacentral:lncRNA from 1 species